ACGGCCUUGGUCCAGUGGCUAGGAUCUCGGCCUUCCAAGCCGAUGGCCCGGGUUCAAAUCCCGGAGGCCGUA
rnacentral:tRNA from 1 species